CAAUCAAACCGGGAGAUAGCUGGUUCUCCCCGAAAGCUAUUUAGGUAGCGCCUCGUGAAUUCAUCUCCGGGGGUAGAGCACUGUUUCGGCUAGGGGGCCAUCCCGGCUUACCAACCCGAUGCAAACUGCGAAUACCGGAGAAUGUUAUCACGGGAGACACACGGCGGGUGCUAACGUCCGUCGUGAAGAGGGAAACAACCCAGACCGCCAGCUAAGGUCCCAAAGUCAUGGUUAAGUGGGAAACGAUGUGGGAAGGCCCAGACAGCCAGGAUGUUGGCUUAGAAGCAGCCAUCAUUUAAAGAAAGCGUAAUAGCUCACUGGUCGAGUCGGCCUGCGCGGAAGAUGUAACGGGGCUAAACCAUGCACCGAAGCUGCGGCAGCGAACGUAUCACCCAAGACAACUUUACGGAGUUGACGAUUGACGGAGCGAAGCGACGUCAAAGCGUUCAUUAAAGUCGAGUUGGCUUAGGGAUACGUUCGUUGGGUAGGGGAGCGUUCUGUAAGCCUGUGAAGGUGUGUCGUGAGGCAUGCUG
rnacentral:rRNA from 1 species